UACGAAGGGGGCUAGCGUUGUUCGGAAUUACUGGGCGUAAAGCGCGCGCAGGCGGUCUUCCAAGUCAGUGGUGAAAGCCCGGAGCUCAACUCCGGAACUGCCAUUGAAACUGUAAGACUUGAGGAUGAGAGAGGUGAGUGGAAUUCCCAGUGUAGAGGUGAAAUUCGUAGAUAUUGGGAAGAGCACCGGUGGCGAAGGCGGCUCACUGGCUCAUAUCUGACGCUCAGGCGCGACAGCGUGGGGAUCAAACAGG
rnacentral:rRNA from 1 species